rnacentral:rRNA from 1 species
CAGCAGCCGCGGGAAUACGAAGGGUGCAAGCGUUACUCGGAAUUACUGGGCGUAAAGCGUGCGUAGGUGGUGGUUUAAGUCCGUUGUGAAAUCGGACGGCCUAACCGUUCGGCGUGCAAGGGAUACUGUCGGUCUUGAGGCCGGGAGACGUCCGAGGUACUCCGGGGGUAGCGGUGAAAUGUUCUAAUCCUCGGGGGACCACCGGUGGCGAAGGCGUUCGACGAGAACGGGCCUGACGCUCAGGUGCGAAAGCGUGGGGAGCAAACAGGAUUAGAGACCCCCGUAGUCCCUGUCUCUUAUA